UACGGGGGGGGGCAAGCGUUGUUCGGAAUUACUGGGCGUAAAGGGCGCGUAGGCGGUUUGCUAAGUUGGAUGUGAAAACUCUGGGCUUAACCCAGAGCCUGCAUCCAAAACUGGCUAACUUGAGUACUGGAGGGGAAAGCGGAAUUCCUGGUGUAGCGGUGAAAUGCGUAGAUAUCAGGAGGAACACCGGUGGCGAAGGCGGCUUUCUGGACAGUAACUGACGCUGAGGCGCGAAAGCUAGGGGAGCAAACAGG
rnacentral:rRNA from 1 species